rnacentral:lncRNA from 1 species
GCCAGGCGGAGGGAGGGAGGGAGGGAGAGAGGGAGGGGAGAGGAUGGAGGAACAGGUUGUACCGCGAGCGCUGAAACUCCAAGGGCAACCAGAUGAGAAUAGCUCUGGAUUUCGGUUCACCUGGGAACCUGCGGAACGGAGAGUGGACUCAAGGGAAAUGAACUGCCUUGGGUUGGAGGGAAGAGGCUUUGAGCUAAGACUCCUGGAGCAGCGUCUCUCUUCCCAUCUUCCUACAAAUCCACCAAAAGAAACCAUUAACAGGGACGGAAGGAGAGAGAAAAGGAUCCCAGGAGAGCUGUUCCUGCUUGGUGAAGCUCAGAGCUGGCAGCAGCAGCAGGAGCUCUUGGGGGGCAACUCCCUGAAGAAUAAGAGCACAGCAGAAACACUCGUGGAAAGGCACACAAGCCAGCCUCCUUUAAUGUGGUAUUUUCUUCCAUCCGCUUUCCAUACAUUUACUAGUUUUUAUAAGUUUCUUGCAAAAUUACCUUCAGAUGUCACAUGUGGCAGCCAUGGGGGUGUAUUGCUGGGAUCUUCCUUAAAGAAGGAAUUUGCUUUUCAGCUUCGAGGAGUGCAGUUAACUAGGGGCCAGGCCCGUGGUUGA